rnacentral:lncRNA from 10 species
CAAUGAAGUUGUUGUUUCACGGAUUGAUUGUGUCAACAUCCAUGGAGUCCUUACCAUGUGCCAGUAACUGGGCAAAGUGCUGAGGACACAAAAGUAAAAAGGACAGCCUGUGUCCUCCUUCAGAUCUCGUGACCCUGGCAAGCGGGCAGCUGGGUCCCCGCAGGACAGAGGUCUGGGAGAAUUGCUGGUGUUUGCGCACGUGCAAGUGCCUGCAGACUGCAGAGUGCAAAGCCAAGAAGCGGCAGAGGAUGGAGACCAGAGGCAAAGCAAGGAUUCAGAUUAAUGGACAGCCCUGUCGGAGUCAAACAAAGACCCAGCCUGGGAAGCCAACACCAGGAGCUGACAACCGUGCAAAGCACCGGGCCAUGGGGCAGUGUUCCAUUUUGUUUCCUCUGGACAGCUGGCAAGAUGGAGUCCCUCGGAGGACUUAACCUAGUGCUUUCACGUCAAAGGAGAAAAAAGGAGUCACUCCCCCAUACAACGUGGAAGACCCAAAGGUUCAGGGGACCCGCCAUCUGUGUAGACUGGAUGGGCUCUUCUGACUGGGUGGUGUCUCGGCUCCAGAGCUCACCACUGUCCUGUACCUGGGGAAGAAGCAUCCAUGCAUAUAAAUUAGGCUGA